rnacentral:rRNA from 1 species
ACGGGAGGCAGCAGUAGGGAAUCUUCGGCAAUGGACGAAAGUCUGACCGAGCAACGCCGCGUGAGCGAAGAAGGCCUUCGGGUCGUAAAGCUCUGUUGUUAGAGAAGAACAUGGGUGAGAGUAACUGUUCACCCCUUGACGGUAUCUAACCAGAAAGCCACGGCUAACUACGUGCCAGCAGCCGCGGUAAUACGUAGGUGGCAAGCGUUGUCCGGAAUUAUUGGGCGUAAAGCGCGCGCAGGCGGUCUCUUAAGUCUGAUGUGAAAGCCCCCGGCUCAACCGGGGAGGGUCAUUGGAAACUGGGAGACUUGAGGACAGAAGAGGAGAGUGGAAUUCCAAGUGUAGCGGUGAAAUGCGUAGAUAUUUGGAGGAACACCAGUGGCGAAGGCGGCUCUCUGGUCUGUUACUGACGCUGAGGCGCGAAAGCGUGGGGAGCAAACAGGAUUAGAUACCCUGGUA